AUUGAACGCUGGCGGCAUGCUUUACACAUGCAAGUCGAACGGUAACAGGCCGCAAGGUGCUGACGAGUGGCGAACGGGUGAGUAAUGCAUCGGAACGUGCCCAGUCGUGGGGGAUAACUACUCGAAAGAGUAGCUAAUACCGCAUACGAUCUAUGGAUGGAAGCGGGGGACCGUAAGGCCUCGCGCGAUUGGAGCGGCCGAUGUCAGAUUAGGUAGUUGGUGGGGUAAAGGCUCACCAAGCCAACGAUCUGUAGCUGGUCUGAGAGGACGACCAGCCACACUGGGACUGAGACACGGCCCAGACUCCUACGGGAGGCAGCAGUGGGGAAUUUUGGACAAAGGGCGCAAGCCUGAUCCAGCAAUGCCGCGUGCAGGAAGAAGGCCUUCGGGUUGUAAACUGCUUUUGUACGGAACGAAACGGCUCUGGUUAAUACCCGGGGCUAAUGACGGUACCGUAAGAAUAAGCACCGGCUAACUACGUG
rnacentral:rRNA from 1 species